rnacentral:rRNA from 1 species
UACGAGGGGGGCAAGCGUUGUUCGGAAUUACUGGGCGUAAAGCGUGCGCAGGCGGUCUGUUAAGACAGAUGUGAAAUCCCCGGGCUCAACCUGGGAAUUGCAUUUGUGACUGCACGGCUAGAGUGUGUCAGAGGGGGGUAGAAUUCCACGUGUAGCAGUGAAAUGCGUAGAGAUGUGGAGGAAUACCGAUGGCGAAGGCAGCCCCCUGGGAUAACACUGACGCUCAUGCACGAAAGCGUGGGGAGCAAACAGG